ACUACUGAAUCAUUCUUCAUGGAACAAAAAAGAAGAUAAGUCAUAUUGGUUUUGAAUGACAUAAGGUGAGAAAUACCUACAGCGUAGCAGGGAUCAGCUGGUUUCUUGCUGUGUCCAAUGCAGCAAAAGAGAAAAAGAGGUUGUGUCGCUGAUACACAGAGGGAGAAGGGUUUCAUCUUACAGGAUCUCGCCCUCCCCGCUUGAAUUUACAGCCCCGAUCGGGACCCCACCAACGACACCUCAGCCAUCCUGAGCCGUCCGCCUCUCUCAUCAACCCCAGUGGUUUACUUGUGGGAACUUGGAACACACAUGUGCUGCUGCACAGCCCACACACUUAAUGCUAGGUUAAAGAGGAAGAAUCCCAACAGGAAAAGAGAGAAAAAGAACAAGAAUGAGAAAGAGGGGAAAAGAACAGCCGUUAAUCAUGUCUUGAAGAGCCCCGCUGCAGGAGGGAGAGAGAGUGCAUGACCUGUGUAUCACAGCAACUGGCCAGCCCAAAAGCUGGCAUGGAACCAGGUGUUAUGCAAUACACUCAUAACACAAAGAACUUCAUUAACUACACGACUGAGAGAUGAACAAGGGCGUAUGACUCUCAGACAGUUAUGUUUACAUCCACGUGUGUUUACAAAGAUGCCUUUGCAGUUUCAAG
ensembl:lncRNA